rnacentral:rRNA from 1 species
UACGAAGGGGGCUAGCGUUGCUCGGAAUCACUGGGCGUAAAGGGCGCGUAGGCGGGCGCUUAAGUCAGGGGUGAAAGCCCAAGGCUCAACCUUGGAAUUGCCUUUGAUACUGUGGGCCUUGAGACCGGAAGAGGUCGGCGGAACUGCGAGUGUAGAGGUGAAAUUCGUAGAUAUUCGCAAGAACACCAGUGGCGAAGGCGGCCGACUGGUCCGGUUCUGACGCUGAGGCGCGAAAGCGUGGGGAGCAAACAGG